CUGCCUUAGACAAAGGAUGCACUGCGAGCCUCACUACACCUAAAACCACGCUUUGAAGGAUCUGCCAAGCUCACUUUUAAUCAUGAGAAAGAAAUUACCCACAUGGAGACAGCAGAAAAUGAGAAAGUAGAGCUCGUGCUGCGAAUAAUUCCAGCGAGUGCCAAGGGGCUAGUUGAGGAAUGGCUUCACGAGG
rnacentral:lncRNA from 1 species